GGAUGCGAUCAUACCAGCACUAAUGCACCGGAUCCAUCAGAACUCCGCAGAUAAGCGUGCUUGGGCGAGAGUAGUACUAGGAUGGGUGACCUCCCGGGAAGUCCUCGUGUUUGCAUCCU
rnacentral:rRNA from 1 species